GACGAACCGUGCGAACGUUAUUCGGAAUCAUUGGGCUUAAAGCGCGUGUAGGCGGAUUCGUGCGUCUGUCGUUGAAAUCCCCCGGCUCAACCGGGGAAGUGGCGCGGAUACGACGAGUCUGGAGGGGCAUAGGGGGACCUGGAACUUCCGGUGGAGCGGUGAAAUGCGUUGAGAUCGGAAGGAACGCCCGUGGCGAAAGCGAGGUCCUGGACGUCUUCUGACGCUGAGACGCGAAAGCUAGGGGAGCGAACGGG
rnacentral:rRNA from 1 species